rnacentral:rRNA from 1 species
GGGUUGUGAGGUUAAGCGACUAAGCGUACACGGUGGAUGCCCUGGCAGUCAGAGGCGAUGAAGGGCGUGCUAAUCUGCGAUAAGCGCCGGUAAGGUGAUAUGAACCGUUAUAACCGGCGAUACCCGAAUGGGGAAACCCAGUGUGACUCGUCACACUAUCAUUAACUGAAUCCAUAGGUUAAUGAGGCGAACCGGGGGAACUGAAACAUCUAAGUACCCCGAGGAAAAGAAAUCAACCGAGAUUCCCCCAGUAGCGGCGAGCGAACGGGGAGGAGCCCAGAGCCUGAAUCAGCAUGUGUGUUAGUGGAAGCGUCUGGAAAGGCGCGCGAUACAGGGUGACAGCCCCGUACACAAAAGCGCAUGUGCUGUGAGCUCGAUGAGUAGGGCGGGACACGUGGUAUCCUGUCUGAAUAUGGGGGGACCAUCCUCCAAGGCUAAAUACUCCUGACUGACCGAUAGUGAACCAGUACCGUGAGGGAAAGGCGAAAAGAACCCCGGCGAGGGGAGUGAAAAAGAACCUGAAACCGUGUACGUACAAGCAGUGGGAGCACAGGUUUACCUGUGUGACUGCGUACCUUUUGUAUAAUGGGUCAGCGACUUAUAUUCUGUAGCAAGGUUAACCGAAUAGGGGAGCCGGAGGGAAACCGAGUCUUAAUUGGGCGUUAAGUUGCAGGGUAUAGACCCGAAACCCGGUGAUCUAGCCAUGGGCAGGUUGAAGGUUGGGUAACACUAACUGGAGGACCGAACCGACUAAUGUUGAAAAAUUAGCGGAUGACCUGUGGCUGGGGGUGAAAGGCCAAUCAAACCGGGAGAUAGCUGGUUCUCCCCGAAAGCUAUUUAGGUAGCGCCUCGUGAAUUCAUCUCCGGGGUAGAGCACUGUUUCGGCUAGGGGGCCAUCCCGGCUUACCAACCCGAUGCAAACUGCGAAUACCGGAGAAUGUUAUCACGGGAGACACACGGCGGGUGCUAACGUCCGUCGUGAAGAGGGAAACAACCCAGACCGCCAGCUAAGGUCCCAAAGUCAUGGUUAAGUGGGAAACGAUGUGGGAAGGCCCAGACAGCCAGGAUGUUGGCUUAGAAGCAGCCAUCAUUUAAAGAAAGCGUAAUAGCUCACUGGUCGAGUCGGCCUGCGCGGAAGAUGUAACGGGGCUAAACCAUGCACCGAAGCUGCGGCAGCGACACUGUGUGUUGUUGGGUAGGGGAGCGUUCUGUAAGCCUGUGAAGGUGUGUCGUGAGGCAUGCUGGAGGUAUCAGAAGUGCGAAUGCUGACAUAAGUAACGAUAAAGCGGGUGAAAAGCCCGCUCGCCGGAAGACCAAGGGUUCCUGUCCAACGUUAAUCGGGGCAGGGUGAGUCGACCCCUAAGGCGAGGCCGAAAGGCGUAGUCGAUGGGAAACAGGUUAAUAUUCCUGUACUUGGUGUUACUGCGAAGGGGGACGGAGAAGGCUAUGUUGGCCGGGCGACGGUUGUCCCGGUUUAAGCGUGUAGGUGUGUGUUCCAGGUAAAUCCGGUUCACUUUAACACUGAGGCGUGAUGACGAGGCACUACGGUGCUGAAGCAACAAAUGCCCUGCUUCCAGGAAAAGCCUCUAAGCAUCAGGUAACAUCAAAUCGUACCCCAAACCGACACAGGUGGUCAGGUAGAGAAUACCAAGGCGCUUGAGAGAACUCGGGUGAAGGAACUAGGCAAAAUGGUGCCGUAACUUCGGGAGAAGGCACGCUGACACGUAGGUGAAGUGAUUUACUCAUGGAGCUGAAGUCAGUCGAAGAUACCAGCUGGCUGCAACUGUUUAUUAAAAACACAGCACUGUGCAAACACGAAAGUGGACGUAUACGGUGUGACGCCUGCCCGGUGCCGGAAGGUUAAUUGAUGGGGUCAGCGCAAGCGAAGCUCCUGAUCGAAGCCCCGGUAAACGGCGGCCGUAACUAUAACGGUCCUAAGGUAGCGAAAUUCCUUGUCGGGUAAGUUCCGACCUGCACGAAUGGCGUAAUGAUGGCCAGGCUGUCUCCACCCGAGACUCAGUGAAAUUGAACUCGCUGUGAAGAUGCAGUGUACCCGCGGCAAGACGGAAAGACCCCGUGAACCUUUACUAUAGCUUGACACUGAACAUUGAGCCUUGAUGUGUAGGAUAGGUGGGAGGCUUUGAAGCGUGGACGCCAGUCUGCGUGGAGCCGACCUUGAAAUACCACCCUUUAAUGUUUGAUGUUCUAACGUGGACCCGUAAUCCGGGUUGCGGACAGUGUCUGGUGGGUAGUUUGACUGGGGCGGUCUCCUCCUAAAGAGUAACGGAGGAGCACGAAGGUUGGCUAAUCCUGGUCGGACAUCAGGAGGUUAGUGCAAUGGCAUAAGCCAGCUUGACUGCGAGCGUGACGGCGCGAGCAGGUGCGAAAGCAGGUCAUAGUGAUCCGGUGGUUCUGAAUGGAAGGGCCAUCGCUCAACGGAUAAAAGGUACUCCGGGGAUAACAGGCUGAUACCGCCCAAGAGUUCAUAUCGACGGCGGUGUUUGGCACCUCGAUGUCGGCUCAUCACAUCCUGGGGCUGAAGUAGGUCCCAAGGGUAUGGCUGUUCGCCAUUUAAAGUGGUACGCGAGCUGGGUUUAGAACGUCGUGAGACAGUUCGGUCCCUAUCUGCCGUGGGCGCUGGAGAACUGAGGGGGGCUGCUCCUAGUACGAGAGGACCGGAGUGGACGCAUCACUGGUGUUCGGGUUGUCAUGCCAAUGGCACUGCCCGGUAGCUAAAUGCGGAAGAGAUAAGUGCUGAAAGCAUCUAAGCACGAAACUUGCCCCGAGAUGAGUUCUCCCUGAGACUUAGAGUCUCCUGAAGGAACGUUGAAGACGACGACGUUGAUAGGCCGGGUGUGUAAGCGCAGCGAUGCGUUGAGCUAACCGGUACUAAUGAACCGUGAGGCUUAACCUUACAACGCCGAAGCUGUU